rnacentral:rRNA from 1 species
GAUGAACGCUGGCGGCGUGCCUAAUACAUGCAAGUCGAGCGGUAACACUUCGGGUGACGAGCGGCGGACGGCUGAGUAACGCGUAGGAACAUACCCCAAACUGAGGGAUAAGCACCGGAAACGGUGUCUAAUACCGCAUGUGGUCUUCGGAUCAAAGCUUUUGCGGUGUGGGAUGGGCCCGCGGCCUAUCAGCUUGUUGGUGGGGUGAUGGCCUACCAAGGCGACGACGGGUAGCCGGCCUGAGAGGGUGACCGGCCACACUGGGACUGAGAUACGGCCCAGACUCCUACGGGAGGCAGCAGUGGGGAAUAUUGCACAAUGGGCGCAAGCCUGAUGCAGCGACGCCGCGUGAGGGAUGACGGCCUUCGGGUUGUAAACCUCUUUCAGCACCGACGAAGCGCAAGUGACGGUAGGUGCAGAAGAAGGACCGGCCAACUACGUGCCAGCCGCCGCAGUAA